GGGGAUUUGGUCUAGUGGUAGGAUGCCUGCUUUGGGUGCAGGAGGUCCCGGGUUCGAACCCCGGAAUCCCCC